ensembl:miRNA
UAGCAGCACGUAAAUAUUGGCGUGAGAAUACAGACCCCGACCCCAAUAUUAGCUGUGCUGCUUC